rnacentral:rRNA from 1 species
UACGAAGGGGGCUAGCGUUGUUCGGAAUUACUGGGCGUAAAGCGCACGUAGGCGGAUUUGUAAGUCAGGGGUGAAAUCCCGGGGCUCAACCUCGGAACUGCCUUUGAUACUGCAAGUCUUGAGUCCGGAAGAGGUGAGUGGAAUUCCUAGUGUAGAGGUGAAAUUCGUAGAUAUUAGGAAGAACACCAGUGGCGAAGGCGGCUUUCUGGGCCCUACCUGACGCUGAGACGCGAAAGCGUGGGGAGCGAACCGG